GACGUAGGGGGCCAGCGUUGUUCGGAAUUACUGGGUGUAAAGGGUUCGUAGGCGGUGUGGCAAGUCGGGAGUGAAAUCUCUGGGCUCAACUCAGAGACUGCUUCCGAAACUGCUGUGCUGGAGUGUGGGAGAGGCGCGUGGAAUUGCAGGUGUAGCGGUGAAAUGCGUAGAUAUCUGGAGGAACACCGGUGGCGAAGGCGACAUCCUGGACCGGCAUUGACGCUGAGGCGCGAAAGCCAGGGGAGCAAACGGG
rnacentral:rRNA from 1 species